rnacentral:lncRNA from 1 species
AGUCACAAAGUGGUGUGUGCUUGAUAUUAAAAACUGUCAUGCUAACAGUAUUGUGGAGUUUUAUUUUUAUGAAUUUGCAUUAUCUUAUUUUUUAUGUCAUAAAGGAAAAAUUUCUAUAAAAUUUUGUGUCUAUACACAAAACAGUGCUAGGAGUUGAUUUUUUUAUAACUUUCCUGCUGCCUCCUCUAUUUUCUAAAUAGAUUAACCUUUUCGCCCAGUCCCAGGCUGCCUGUGGAAUUCUUGUGGCUAUUUUAUGUGGCCUUCAAUCCAUUUUACGUGUGUCCAUCUGCCUCACUUCACUCCUUUCUUCUUCUCAAAUGAGCUUCCCAUAAACUUCCGUCACAGAGUGUUCCCCUCUCGUGUGUCCAUCCCAGAAUCUCUCUUCCUCCAGCAAGGACAGCAGUUGUGUUGGCUUAGGGCCACCGUAAUGACCUCAUCUGAAGCUUGCUUACAUCUGCAAAGACCCUCUUUCCAAGUAAGUUUGCAUUCACAAGUGCGGGGGCUUCAGCGUGGGCUUCCAUAAAUGUUUUUUGGGGGGAAGGGAAGGGAGCAGGGGACACACAAUUCAGUCCCAAACCCUCUCUAUCUUAUUUCUCCAACUUCCAAACAGGUGUGGGGGAUGGGAGAAGCUGUUCAACCAGGAUGUGCUCUGAGGUCCCCUUUGGCUCACAGAGUCUGAGGCAGCGGAUGUCCACUGUUCCACGUUCAGACAUUAGGUGGCCUUGAGUAACUGAAAAACCCAAGAGAGACAUGAUGAGAAGGAGGCUCUAGGUCGUUAUACAACAGAUAAGGAACGUGGCCUUUGGAAACAUGAUUCACCUCCAUGCUUGGCAUAGCAGGCUGUUUUAUUUUGCUCGUCACAGUGAUUUUCUUUGUCCUCGUUUUUAUUUAUCUGGAUGAUGGUUGGUCAAAAGUUUUCUAAGCUGAAUUCCCAUCUUACUACCCAUAACAUUACAUAAAAUGAGAUGCUAGAGUUAAAAAAAAAUAAUUGUCACAUCACAACUGAUUUUAGAUGUUGGCAGGGCUGCCAGCUGGAGCAGAUUCACAAGGAAAAUCGACUCCUCUCUGUCCUUCAAGCUAAAAAAAGGCGAGAUAAGAAGAGAGGGCGCUCUGUGAUGAAUAAGGGUGGCUGUGCCUCCAUGGGUGGCUGGAGGAGGAGACCCUUUGAGGCCCUGGGGGUGGGUUGGGGGGGAUUGCAAGCGGGGGAGGCCGGGGGGGGUACUGUAGCAUAAAGGGGGAUGAGAACUGUCUAUACUCUCUCCUGAUGUCCCAGUGCUUCAAAGAGAAAACCGUGUCAAAGCCAGGGGAGGGGAAGCACUGAACACCAAGCUGAAUAGAGGACAUUUUCCCAGAGCUCCAGUCUCAGCGUGACAUGUGUACAAAGAUGCAUCUCCCUCCCUCCCGCUACCCCCUCCGCCUGACCUAAGGUGGACACUAGACAGAUAAGCCGGGGCAGGGCAGUGUCCCCUCUAGAAAUCUCUGACUUGUGGGCAGGAAGCGAAAGCUCCAGGAAAAUGGAAUCUUCUCACAGCUGUGGUGCAGUGAGUUAAGUAAGGAUCUGGUGGUGUCAUUGCAGUGGCUUGGGUUGCUGCUGUGGCGUGGGUUCGAACCCUGGACCAGGAUCUCCCACUUGCUAUGGGUAUGGCAAAAAAAUUAAAUAGUGCUAUUUUUUCCCUGAAUCUCAGAAAUUAUUUAGCUAAACAAUGGAUGAUUUCAUUAUAAUGUUCUCAUUACGAAAGCCUAUUCUGUUACUUGCUGCCAACGCUAGGUGAAAACACUGGGAAUUCACACUGGGUCAUUAUUAUUCUGGUCUUUCUUUGCCAUUCUUUCAGCAGUAGGAGUUAUGGAUUUGUCAGCGUUUCCAUUAUUACCUCUUAUUUUCAAGGCUGCUGUCUUAGUUGCUGAAAUUGCAUUGUACUGGAUGGAAGCCUAGAGGUAAUUUCCUUUCGUAUUAUAGCAGCUGCAUUCUUUUAUGGUUGUGUGUGACUCUGCAAGUGAUUUCAAUAUCUUUUUAUUAAAAAAGUAAUUCAUGCAUAAGUCUCAAUUCUCUCUUUUUUUUAAGUGCAUAUAGCUCUUAUCCAAGAUUGAGGUAUGAAUCAUGUGAGGGAAACAUUUAUGAAGAGUCCACAAUGCAGGAAAGGGGGAGCAACAAAACAAGCCAUGGCAAGAAAGCAAUGAGAUCCAUGGGGCGAUAAUCAGUCAUACUUCUUUAUUGGUCACACAUUGUGUGUCUCUGAGAUUUACAAUAUACAACAGAAGGGAGAGAAGAUAUGGUAUUAAAUUAUAAAUUUAAAAUUAUAUGUAUUCCCCUUGCUAUAGACAUUGGGAUCAUCUCAUCAAAUCUUAGAAUUUCAGUAUCUGAAGACCUUAGGUCUUUUUUAUCCAUUAAUUGUGGGUGUUUAUUCCAUCAAUUCCAUAUUCCCUCUUCUGCCCUCCCAAUAAUAGAUCAGUUAUCUAUUGCUGCAUAACAACCCCCAAACUUAGGGGCUUGUUGUUGUUAAAAAGAUAAUCAUUGAGUAGUUCACGAUUCUGGGGGUUGGCAAUUUGAACUGAGCUCAGCCCGCUGGUUCUUCUGCUGGUCCUGACUGGCUCAUGUCUGGUGGUUGGCUAUGAUGCAGAGGCAACUGUGCCAUGCCUGUAACAUCCAACAGGCUACCCCAGGCUUUUCACUGACCACUGAGUCCCAAAAGCAGCAAAAAAGAGCAGAUCCCAACUCACAAACUCCUUUUAAGCAUCUGUUUGUGUCACACUUGCUAAUGUGCCCUUAGCCAAAGCAACUUCAUAUGCAAAGAAGUUAAGAGAUAAGACUCAUCUCUCAGUGGAAAAGACAAGAACAUAAAAAGAAGUAGGAAUCCAUUUUUGUUUGUUUGUUUGUUUUGGCUACACCUGGGGCAUGCAGAAGUUCCCAGGCCAGGAAUCAAACAUAUGCCCAAGCAGUGACAAUGCUGGUUCCUUAAGCUGCUGGGCUACCAGGGAACUGCUGUUUCUUUUUUUUUGGAAACGAGGAUGCUAUCCUGAUAGCUUCAGCUGAGAUCUCCCUAGUAUCCAGUCUUGCCUGAGAAGAAACAGAUGGGGAGACAGUUAUGGGCCAUACGUGAAGGACCAGAAAAUCUCCUAAGGAAAGUGACAAUUCAUCUAAGGAAAGAGAGAUGAGAGUCACAAGAUUGUCCACGGUCAUUAAGUCAGUGAUGGGGGCAGGCUACAUCUCACCACAGCCCUUGUCUGGCCUUCAGGUGGCCCAAUCCUGCCCCAUGAUUUAGAUUCAAGCCUUGAGGAGAAGAGGCUACAGUAACAAGAACAAAACAGAAUUUCAGUGCAGUUUCUGGGGAAGACAUUGGAAUUUAGAGGGUGAAGGGAGCUUCCUUAUUUGGAUCUUCUCUGGGGAUGGGGGGGAGUUGGGCUGAAUCCAGUCUGCUUCUGGACCAGAGUUGAUGUGGGAGAGGAAAUUGGCCUGUGGCAGCAAACAGGCUAUGAUGGACUGCCCAGGAGAACUCACAGCCUCAGCCGUUCAAAGCAGGCCAUGGGGUCUGCUCCCAAGGGCACACAAAACAUCCUCUAUGAACGGGAGGACAUUGAGGGAACUCAGUGCUUGUACCCACGUUCAAGUCAUAGCUCCUGUUUUGUUUUGUUUUCUUUUCACUUUGUUUAUUUUGUUUCUUUUUACAGCCACGCCUGUGGCAUAUGGAAGUUCCCAGGCUAGGGGUCAAAUCGGAGGUGCAGCUGCAGGCCUAUGCCACCGUUACAGCAACAGAAGAUCCGAGCCCCAUCUGCAGUCUACACUGCUGCUUGUGUCAACAGCAGAUCCUUAACUAACUGAGAGAAACCAGGGAUUGAACCCGCAUCCUCCCAACAUUAUGUCAGGUUCUUAACCUGCUGAGCCACAGUGGGAACGCCCAUAGCUCCUGUUUUUAAGCCAGAGUGUGAGUAUGUGUGUGUGUGUCAGUGAUGAGGUAUAGGUAGUAACUGACAUAUAAAGGAAAAGUGCUAGAGAAGGGGAUCUGGGAGCCCCGGAUCAGAGAGAGGCUUCAGGGAAGGGAUAAAACCAAGGGUGGAUCUGCAAAUACGGGAGGACUUGUGUGAGGGUUAAGAUGAAAAAUAUUCCAAAGGGUAAUCAGAGUAGUCUACCCAUGAGGGUAGUUAAUACUUUACUGAGAAACCUACUCUUUUACUAGAAAUUUCUUUGUCUUAGCUCAUGGUGGUGGAGACAUGAGAGAAAUUGUAGGAUCAGGAAUUUGGGAGGAAGAAUGUUCCCAGAUACCUCUGGAAUCUCAAUAUUUAUAACCACUAGGAAAAUGAGGUUACUUUAGCAAUGGCAUUGGUGAACUACUUCUGGAGAAUAAAUGAGUGGGGUGCAUGUGUGUGUGUGUGUAAAAUACGGGCAGGAGGAAGCAGAAAGAACAUAGAAGUCUUAUAUAAAAUGAUGACCGACAUAUAACACAUUUAUUAAUAUGUAUUUAUUAUAUAUAUUUAUACGGGAAGACUCCUGCAAGUAUUAAUAUGUACUCUAUCUUGUUGCAAAAGAAAGGGUAAUUUAAAUUAAUACAUCUAUAUAUUAUACAUUAUAUAUUAUAUACAUAUAACUUGAAGGUACAUUUUAAAUAAGAAUGAAAUAAUUUUUCCAUGAAUUUUUUUUCACAUUGCUGUAUUAAUAGCUUUGUGUACAUGGGGCAGGUUGAAUGGCUCUUACUUCAUCUGACCUACAUAAAGAAAGCAGGUGUCUGGGAGUUCCCAUUGUGGCUCAGCAGGUUAAGAACUUGACAUAGUCUCCAUAAGGAUGCGGUUUGAUCCCUGGCCUUGCUCAGUGGGUUAAGGAUCUGGUGUUGCACUGAACUGCACAGUAGGUCAUAGAUGUGGCUCAGAUCCAGUGUUGCUGUGGGAUAGGCCUCAGCUGCUGUUCCAAUUUGACCCCAAGCUUGUGAACUUUCAUGUGCCGCAGGUUCGGCCAUAAAGAGAAAGAAAAAAAAAAAAUCAGCUGUCUGACUGUUGUGCAAGUUAGGUCCCUUCUGGGUCACCACCUAUGGUGCAUCAAGUUUGGAAUGAAUUCCACAAUAUCACCCAGCUGAGUUAAGGAACAGGCUUUAUUGGGGAAAGGUAAAACCUAUAAGGUGGAUCACACAGAAAGAGAGAACUGGGUUUCCCACCUCCUGUGGUCCCACAGAGAGACAGGCAAGGGAUUUCUGGAAGAAAUGUAGUGUGGAUUUACAUUUCAAUAGAGGAACUAUGUCCCUUCUUUGUCUCCUUUUUCCACAAGGCAAGUAUAAGAAAGCUGUCUUGUCAGUGGGGGAUACUCAGGCAGCUUGAUCCAAGCAGCCUGGAUUUGGAGGCCCAGCUGUUUACAGGGGUUGCUAGGAAAGCCAGCAGCCAGGCUCCAUAUGAUGCUGCACAGGAAGGACACCACCAGUCCCAUGGGAAGCUGAGCCUAAGUGUAGCACUGGGAGAAGGAAGUCUCUGGUCCCUGAUGGCUCAUUGUCCAGAAAAUCAGAGUGAACUUCCACAAUCAUUUCAGAUUAUUUUGCUCAUCCCACUACCCAUAAUGAGAAGUCUGCAGCCAGGAAGCCUGAAACUUGCUAUGGUGGCCUUAAAAAAUUCCCUUUACUGGUCUGACCCUAACUAGAGAUUCUAGUUCUCUAUUCUACCCUACUCUCUAGGUUGUUAGAGAGUCAAAUGAAAGUGACAAACAACUGAAAUGGGAGGCUGGCAAUAUAGCUAACAAUAUUUUUCAGCAACCUGGUUUUAGACAUUUAAUUAAAAUUAAAUCAUACAAGUGAAUGUUGGUAAUUUAGCCAAAAUGUGCCUUCCAAAAUGCAGCCCAGUAGCCAGUACAAAUUAUUCCCAUUCUUCCAAGGCUCCAAGUCCUCGAAUUCAGUAUAGUUAAAAAAUUAUACUCAGAAUAGUGAACUGGAGGAAUUUCAACAUCCUUGAUCAUCAAAAAGGAGGAAUGUGGACCAAAACACAGGGGAGAAAAAUUAGCCAAAUAUUUAAAUCAAAAACAAAAAUAAUCUCUAAUACCAUACAUAAAAAUAAACUCAAAAUGAACUAAAGACCUAAAUAUAAGACCAGAUGCUAUAGAACUCUUAGAGGAAAACAUAGGCAGAACACUCUCUGACAUAAACCACACCAAUAUCUUCUCAGAUCCACCUCCUAAAGAAAUGAAAAUAAAAACAAAAAUAAAAAAAUGGGACCUAUUUAAACUUAGCACAGCAAAGAAACCAUAAACAAAAUGAAAAGACAAUCCACAGAAUGGGAGAAAAAUAUUUGCAAAUGAAGCAACUGACAAAAUAUAUGAACAACUCAUUUAGCUCGAUAUCAAAAAAUAACCCAAUCAAAAAAUGGGCGAAAGAUCUAAACAGAUCCAAAGAAGACAUACAGAUGGCAAAAAAAAA